UCUUCCUCUUCCCGUCGUCGGCCUCUUCCACCGCCCCUUUCUUCCCACCACCCCGCCUUCACUCACACCGGUAAAAAAUAUUGAUUCUUUUUGCGUCUUCGACGAGCUUCUCUGCGACGGAGGCAUGGAUGUGUAGCGGCGCCAGAGUUGGAUACGGGCUAGGGGGCAUGAAUGUGGACUGGCGCCCAAGCGGACCUAGAGCGACGGCGGAGCAGCGGAACGGCGCCGGAGCCUCCACGUCGCCGUCGUGCACAUCUCGUCGUUGUCCUCACACAUCGACGCAUGAUAAUUUGAUCGAAAAGGGACGGCAUGCUGAGGUGUACAAAAGACAGUUUGCUGAUGGACAGUUUGCUGAAGGAGUACUUAACCAAGCAUGCUGAGGUCCCGGUUGGUAUACUGCCAGCAGCCUUGCCGGUCCAAGCAAUCAAGAUCAUCAGCAAGUCAAUAACGGAGACGGUCGAGCACUGUCAUCACACUAAACCUGCAACACCAGUGAGAUGACUGAAGAUUGGGUUGUGGUUGGAGUGAGAGGAGAAGCAAAUCACUUGACCAGUUGAAUCCUUGGGUGUACAAGACGGCCGAGCUGUGGCAGGUGAAGGAGCCGCUGCCGCUGCCCGCGCCGAAGAAGCGCAACUGCUCCAUGGUGUUCACCCUCAACGAGAUGGAGGAGGCCACCGGCAUGUUCAGUGACAAGAACCUCAUAGGCAAGGGCGGCUUCGGCCGUGUUUACAGGGGCGUGCUCAAAGAUGGGCAGAUUCUCUUGAUUGGAGUGGAGAGGAGCAGAGACGAGAGGAUCAGCAGAAGUGGACAGCGCAGCGGCUGACCUUGAGCUCUUGAUUGGAGUGGGGGGAGGCGGCCGGCGAAGGAUCUGUGGCCAACAACGAAGGAU